AUCUAGGGAUGGGAAUCGAACCCACAGUGUUCCGCUUACCGGGCAGAUGCCAUGUCCACUAGGCUACCCUGGA
rnacentral:tRNA from 1 species